rnacentral:rRNA from 1 species
GGCCUUGACAUACUAAGAACUUUCCAGAGAUGGAUUGGUGCCUUCGGGAACUUAGAUACAGGUGCUGCAUGGCUGUCGUCAGCUCGUGUCGUGAGAUGUUGGUUAAGUCCGCAACGAGCGCAACCCUUUUCCUUAUUUGCCAGCGGGUAAUGCCGGGAACUUUAAGGAUACUGCCAGUGACAAACUGGAGGAAGGCGGGGACGACGUCAAGUCAUCAUGGCCCUUACGGCCAGGGCUACACACGUGCUACAAUGGUCGGUACAAAGGGUUGCUACCUCGCGAGAGGAUGCUAAUCUCAAAAAGCCGAUCGUAGUCCGGAUCGCAGUCUGCAACUCGACUGCGUGAAGUCGGAAUCGCUAGUAAUCGCGGAUCAGAAUGCCGCGGUGAAUACGUUCCCGGGCCUUGUACACACCGCCCGUCACACCAUGGGAGUUUGUUGCACCAGAAGUAGGUAGUCUAACCGCAAGGAGGACGCUUACCACGGUGUGGCCGAUGACUGGGGUGAAGUCGUAACAAGGUAGGCGUAGAUGA